CAGGUGGUCAGGUAGAGAAUACCAAGGCGCUUGAGAGAACUCGGGUGAAGGAACUAGGCAAAAUGGUGCCGUAACUUCGGGAGAAGGCACGCUGAUAUGUAGGUGAAGUGAUUUACUCAUGGAGCUGAAAUCAGUCGAAGAUACCAGCUGGCUGCAACUGUUUAUUAAAAACACAGCACUGUGCAAACACGAAAGUGGACGUAUACGGUGUGACGCCUGCCCGGUGCCGGAAGGUUAAUUGAUGGGGUUAUCCGUAAGGAGAAGCUCUUGAUCGAAGCCCCGGUAAACGGCGGCCGUAACUAUAACGGUCCUAAGGUAGCGAAAUUCCUUGUCGGGUAAGUUCCGACCUGCACGAAUGGCGUAAUGAUGGCCAGGCUGUCUCCACCCGAGACUCAGUGAAAUUGAACUCGCUGUGAAGAUGCAGUGUACCCGCGGCAAGACGGAAAGACCCCGUGAACCUUUACUAUAGCUUGACACUGAACACUGGUCCUUGAUGUGUAGGAUAGGUGGGAGGCUUUGAAGUGUGGACGCCAGUCUGCAUGGAGCCAUCCUUGAAAUACCACCCUUUAAUGGCUGGUGUUCUAACGUGGACCCGUAAUCCGGGUUGCGGACAGUGUCUGGUGGGUAGUUUGACUGGGGCGGUCUCCUCCUAAAGAGUAACGGAGGAGCACGAAGGUUAGCUAAUCCUGGUCGGACAUCAGGAGGUUAGUGCAAAGGCAUAAGCUAGCUUGACUGCGAGAGUGACGGCUCGAGCAGGUGCGAAAGCAGGUCUUAGUGAUCCGGUGGUUCUGAAUGGAAGGGCCAUCGCUCAACGGAUAAAAGGUACUCCGGGGAUAACAGGCUGAUACCGCCCAAGAGUUCAUAUCGACGGCGGUGUUUGGCACCUCGAUGUCGGCUCAUCACAUCCUGGGGCUGAAGUAGGUCCCAAGGGUAUGGCUGUUCGCCAUUUAAAGUGGUACGCGAGCUGGGUUUAGAACGUCGUGAGACAGUUCGGUCCCUAUCUGCCGUGGGCGCUGGAGAAUUGAGGGGGGCUGCUCCUAGUACGAGAGGACCGGAGUGGACGCAUCACUGGUGUUCGGGUUGUCAUGCCAAUGGCAUUGCCCGGUAGCUAAAUGCGGAAGAGAUAAGUGCUGAAAGCAUCUAAGCACGAAACUUGCCCCG
rnacentral:rRNA from 1 species